rnacentral:tRNA from 1 species
CAGGGAGACAAAACUGAUUUGAUGUCUGAGUAUUUUGAUCUCAGGCUCUAAUCCUGUCACCUUAGGUCGAUCGGUACCUCAAGUUGAAUUCAAAGAGUAAGUAAGAAAUUAUUUCUCUGAGAGUGUUGAUAACUUCAGUUCCUAAACUUUGUCUAGGUCACACCCAACAAGGGUACUCCUGGGCCAUUAGCUCAGGUGGUUAGAGCGCACCCCUGAUAAGGGUGAGGUCCCUGGUUCAAGUCCAGGAUGGCCCAUUCGUUGUUGGGGGUAUAGCUCAGUUGGUAGAGCGCCUGCUUUGCAAGCAGGAUGUCAGCGGUUCGAGUCCGCUUACCUCCACUGAAACCUACCCUGGUAACUAAAUUCCGGAGAAAUUUUGUUGAUGUGACUUAUAACUGUCUAUUUGAAAAGACCCUAGCUUCUUAUCAUCUUUUUAGAGUUGAUAAUAUGCUGGGCUCGAAUGGAUUUAUUCCAUGAGAAUUCAGUAGAACCUUGAAAACUGCAUAGAUUAAAAAGAAUAAAGCAUCUCAUGGAUGCAUAAUUCUUGGUUAAUAAUUUGGUGUAAAGACUAAAUUAUUAAUACAUAGAAUUCAUGUUUAAUUCUUGAGUAAAAGCCGAGCACAAUUGAUUUUGUGAUUGUAUUAAA